CGCGUCGCGUGGCUGCUGUCAAGCUCUCCGGGGUCUUUGAGGUCUCCUGUCGUCUCUGUCUUCCUCCACCGCGGCUUCCCGCUCCGGCCGGCCGGCCGAGGAGCCCCGGCAGGCCGCCAGACAUGAACGCUGCUCCCGCUGAAGAGCUGAUCACUGAGUGGGAAAGUGAGCAGGCCCGGCUCCGGCGGCUCCUGGUCCUGGAGGACACGGAGGCCUGGCAGAGCGGUCCGGGCUUCUCGGGGCUGCAGCGGGUGGGCGGAGUGGACCUGUCCUUCAUCAAGGGGGACGAGCAGAACGCCUGCGCCGCGCUGGUGGUGCUCAGCUACCCCCACAUGGAGCUGCUGUAUGAGGACUGUCGCAUGGUGACCCUGACGGCGCCCUACGUGGCCGGGUUCCUGGCCUUCAGAGAGACGCCCUUCCUGCUGGACGCCCUGCGGCGGCUGAGGGAGGACCGGCCGGAACUCCUGCCUCAGGUGGUGUUUGUGGAUGGAAACGGUGUCUUUCACUACAGAGAGUUCGGCCUGGCGUGUCACCUGGGCGUGCUGUCCGGCCUCCCCUGUGUGGGCGUGGCCAAAAACCUGCUGCAGGUGCAGGGCGUGCAGAAGAGCGAGGAGCACCAGUCGCAGAUCGCUGCUCUGCGGAGAGGAGGAGACAGCUUCCCGCUCACCGCCGCCUCCGGCGCCGUGCUGGGAAAGGCGCUGAGAAGCUCGGACAAAAGCUCGAAGCCGGUUUACGUGUCGGUGGGUCAUAAGAUCAGCCUGGACACGGCCGUGCGCCUCACACACUCCUGCUGCCGCUACCGAGUGCCCGAGCCCAUCAGACAGGCCGACUGCCGCUCCAGAGAAUACCUUCGAACGCACUUUCCACCUGCAGACGCCUGAGCCAGACGUGAGCUCCAGAGCUUCAGUGGCUCUUCUCUUUCCUCCGCCUCGUUCAUCUCUUGCCAUGCGCGGCGCGCCGCGUUAACGACGAGGACCGAUUGCUGGUGGGCGGAGGGCAGCAGAUGAGUUGGAUCUGAGCCAGCAAACGGAUAAAGAAGAUCGACCAGCAACAACAGAAGACCUUACACUGCUGUGUGUGUGUGUGUGUGUGUGUGUGUGUGUGUUCUUGUAUUUCUAUCCUUGUCGGGGCCAAAUGUCCCCACAAGGAUAGCAAAACGUGAA